UGGGGAAUAUUGGACAAUGGGCGCAAGCCUGAUCCAGCCAUGCCGCGUGAGUGAUGAAGGCCCUAGGGUUGUAAAGCUCUUUCACCGGUGAAGAUAAUGACGGUAACCGGAGAAGAAGCCCCGGCUAACUUCGUGCCAGCAGCCGCGGUAAUACGAAGGGGGCUAGCGUUGUUCGGAUUUACUGGGCGUAAAGCGCACGUAGGCGGACUUUUAAGUCAGGGGUGAAAUCCCGGGGCUCAACCCCGGAACUGCCUUUGAUACUGGAAGUCUUGAGUAUGGUAGAGGUGAGUGGAAUUCCGAGUGUAGAGGUGAAAGUCGUAGAUAUUCGGAGGAACACCAGUGGCGAAGGCGGCUCACUGGACCAUUACUGACGCUGAGGUGCGAAAGCGUGGGGAGCAAACAGG
rnacentral:rRNA from 2 species